GACGAACGCUGGCGGCGUGCCUAAUACAUGCAAGUUGAGCGCUGAAGGUUGGUACUUGUACCAACUGGAUGAGCAGCGAACGGGUGAGUAACGCGUGGGGAAUCUGCCUUUGAGCGGGGGACAACAUUUGGAAACGAAUGCUAGUACCGCAUAAAAACUUUAAACACAAGUUUUAAGUUUGAAAGAUGCAAUUGCAUCACUCAAAGAUGAUCCCGCGUUGUAUUAGCUAGUUGGUGAGGUAAAGGCUCACCAAGGCGAUGAUACAUAGCCGACCUGAGAGGGUGAUCGGCCACAUUGGGACUGAGACACGGCCCAAACUCCUACGGGAGACAGCAGUAGGGAAUCUUCGGCAAUGGACGAAAGUCUGACCGAGCAACGCCGCGUGAGUGAAGAAGGUUUUCGGAUCGUAAAACUCUGUUGGUAGAGAAGAACGUUGGUGAGAGUGGAAAGCUCAUCAAGUGACGGUAACUACCCAGAAAGGGACGGCUAACUACGUG
rnacentral:rRNA from 1 species